rnacentral:tRNA from 1 species
GCCUGGGUGGCUCAGUUGGUUAAGCAUCUGACUUCAGUUCAGGUCAUGAUCUCAUGGUCUGUGGGUUCGAGCCCCAUGUCAGGCU